rnacentral:rRNA from 2 species
UGGGGAAUAUUGGACAAUGGGCGCAAGCCUGAUCCAGCCAUGCCGCGUGUGUGAAGAAGGCCUUUUGGUUGUAAAGCACUUUAAGCGAGGAGGAGGCUACUUGGAUUAAUACUCUAAGAUAGUGGACGUUACUCGCAGAAUAAGCACCGGCUAACUCUGUGUCAGCAGCCGCGGUAAUACAGAGGGUGCGAGCGUUAAUCGGAUUUACUGGGCGUAAAGCGUGCGUAGGCGGCUUCUUAAGUCGGAUGUGAAAUCCCUGAGCUUAACUUAGGAAUUGCAUUCGAUACUGGGAAGCUAGAGUAUGGGAGAGGAUGGUAGAAUUCCAGGUGUAGCGGUGAAAUGCGUAGAGAUCUGGAGGAAUACCGAUGGCGAAGGCAGCCAUCUGGCCUAAUACUGACGCUGAGGUACGAAAGCAUGGGGAGCAAACAGG